rnacentral:lncRNA from 1 species
UUGCAUCUUCUCCUCUGCUGUCACGCCUCUAAUUGCAAAGUACCGCUCCAAUUUUUGGAUCCACCCGUACGCGUCGUCCCCAAAAAAAAUAGGGAUUUCCAAUCUUCUCCAACAAUUUGGAUUCAGACUCCGCUGAUGACUCUCUCCUUCAUUCUCACUUUCGCUUCCAUCCUCCCGCGAGUGUCCAUUUCCGUUUAUCC